rnacentral:rRNA from 1 species
UGGCUCAGAUUGAACGCUGGCGGCAGGCCUAACACAUGCAAGUCGAGCGGUAGAGAGGUGCUUGCAUCUCUUGAGAGCGGCGGACGGGUGAGUAAUGCCUAGGAAUCUGCCUAGUGUGGGGGAUAACGUUCGGAAACGGACGCUAAUACCGCAUACGUCCUACGGGAGAAAGCGGGGGAUCUUCGGACCUCGCGCCAUUAGAUGAGCCUAGGUCGGAUUAGCUAGUUGGUGAGGUAAAGGCUCACCAAGCCAACGAUCUGUAGCUGGUCUGAGAGGACGACCAGCCACACUGGAACUGAGACACGGUCCAGACUCCUACGGGAGGCAGCAGUGGGGAAUUUUGGACAAUGGACGCAAGUCUGAUCCAGCCAUUCCGCGUGCAGGAUGAAGGCCCUCGGGUUGUAAACUGCUUUUGUACGGAACGAAAAGGUUUCUAUUAAUACUAGGAGCUCAUGACGGUACCGUAAGAAUAAGCACCGGCUAACUACGUG